GGCAGCCACUGCCCAAAUCUGCAGGUCAGCGUGGCCGCCCUCAGAAAGUCACGUGAAUGGUCUGUACAGGCAGUCCAAAAUUCUGCCCUGGUGUGCCUCUCCUGCGCCAGUAACACACUGCCCGGUUCUGGGCUCUGCUCAGCAGCAGCCAAAGCGUGCCGUGCCCCUGGCACCUAACGCCUGCACCCCUACUCUCUUGGCGGGCCAAGGCUCGGGCCAGCUGUACACCCGGAGCUUCUUGCCCAACCGCCUGCAGGCGCGGGAUUGACAGACGAGCUUGGUGGGCUGGUCCAUGUAACAACAACGGAAGUCAGCAGCAGAAAUUAGGUACAUAGCUCGCUAUUUAAAUGGCCACUGGGCGUCAGCUGCAUCUUCUGAUACGUGCUUGAUGCUUGAUAUUUGUAGAGACGAAGGCAGUAAGACACAGACCACGUACACACGCACGUUUAUGGUGCUACAUUUCGCAACAAGGAAUCUGCCUGCAAAGACAAGGGGAGGAAUUGGACUUGAUUUAUCAAAAAUGGGAUUGGGGAAAAAAAAAGGAAAAUCAGAGAACAGUUUGCAUUAGCUUCUUCUGUGGCUGACAUCCCCGGUUCCCUAAACGUCUCGGCACGCAGGAGUGCGGACUGGCCUGGGAGGAGGCUGCAGCCAGGCCCCUGCUAGUGGCGUAAGGACCACAGCAAAGGAGCCCUGUGCUGCUACAGAAAAAAGACGACCUGGCCUGCAGCCAGUUCCCAUGGUUUUGGACUAGUCAAUCAGCCGAAUGACAACAAUGCACCUUUGACUCUCAGAAUCUUUUAGGAAGAGUACUGAGCAGCCAUCUCAGCAGUGCUGCAAGAACAUCUCUUGCAUCUCUUCUUUGUAUGACCCGCACCUGCCUUCCCUGGUUUAAACUGCUUGGCAGGAUCUCUACAGGCCCACCACUGCACUUCUGCUGAGUGUACCCUGCAGCCAGAAAAUACUGUCCUCCUGGGCACACUCUUAUUCCAGGAAAUUUGUGAUCAGCUGGCACAUCUCAUUGGAAUGAGGGAGAUGAGUUGGACCGGAGGCUGAUGCCCACGUACUUUCUCAGAACCAUCAGGAGAACAUUUUUAGGCAGCUCCGGAAGGGGUCAAAGACCACUUCCAUAGCACACCCCAGCUCAUACGAAAGUGCUGCAUUUCCACAACCCAUCACAGCUUGUGCAGAGGAUCGCAGAAUGCUUUUGCGUCGUGCUGCUGCUGCUUCAGUUCACGUGUGUAGUCAAAUUCCACAGAGCAGUACUUAAUCCCACGGAUUCAUUACUCAAUCAAACAAAUGGCGAAGCGAUGGCACUAGAAAAGAUUCCAGUGACUUCCAGCAAGAAGAGAAAUCAUACAAGAAACAGAAAAACAAAGCUAAGAAGCAGUACAAUAAACAGAAAAUUAUUGCAUAAGAAAGGUGAAGAAGCUCAAAGCUGGGUGUGAUGAAGAUAAAUAGAACAUGUUGAUGGUGUUCAAGCUAAGAAAUGCCUGUUAACUGGACGCCAGCCCACCAGCACAGACGGCCAGAGCUGGCUGGAGAAUACCAGUCCCACCACGCAGACGGGGAGAUCCACUCGCAGGCAGAAUCACUCCUGCUCCGCCACGUCCUCAGGCAGCUCCUGGCCAAACACAACUGCAAUUAGGGAGGCAUCGCGUUCAGAUUAAUAAACCGUGCUUUAGUGUGUAUCCAACCGCCGUGCAUGGGGACCGGGGACGGAGCGGGAGGGAGAAGGGUAAUGACUCCAUCCCAGCACCAUGCUAACCGCAGCUACAUGGUUUCUGGACAGGAGGAAGCUCCCAGUUGCAGAAUGGGCAGGAGAAGCUGACAGCUGCCUGUAAAAGCCACCUACACAGGUCUGCCUGAAGGGUGAGGCACCCUGUCGUGGGCAAGCUCUGCUGCCACCAUGUAUGUCUGUACCUGCAGUGCUCAAGGACUGACAAGCAAAACCGUGU